rnacentral:rRNA from 1 species
UACGGGGGGGGCAAGCGUUGUUCGGAAUUACUGGGCGUAAAGGGCUCGUAGGCGGCCAACUAAGUCAGACGUGAAAUCCCCCAGCUUAACUGGGGAACUGCGUCUGAUACUGGAUGGCUUGGAUUCGGGAGAGGAAUGCGGAAUUCCAGGUGUAGCGGUGAAAUGCGUAGAUAUCUGGAGGAACACCGGUGGCGAAGGCGGCAUUCUGGACCGACAUUGACGCUGAGGAGCGAAAGCCAGGGGAGCAAACGGG